rnacentral:rRNA from 1 species
CAGCAGCCGCGGUAAUACGAAGGGGGCUAGCGUUGUUCGGAAUCACUGGGCGUAAAGCGCACGUAGGCGGACUUUUAAGUCAGAGGUGAAAUCCCAAGGCUCAACCUUGGAACUGCCUUUGAUACUGGAAGUCUUGAGUUCGGGAGAGGUGAGUGGAACUGCGAGUGUAGAGGUGAAAUUCGUAGAUAUUCGCAAGAACACCAGUGGCGAAGGCGGCUCACUGGCCCGAUACUGACGCUGAGGUGCGAAAGCGUGGGGAGCAAACAGGAUUAGAUACCCCCGUAGUCCCUGUCUCUUAUAC